rnacentral:misc_RNA from 1 species
AACGUUCCGUUCCACGUUGUC